rnacentral:rRNA from 1 species
GACGAACGCUGGCGGCGUGCCUAAUACAUGCAAGUCGAACGAGAGCGACCGGUGCUUGCACUGGUCAAUCUAGUGGCGAACGGGUGAGUAACACGUGGGUAACCUGCCCAUCAGAGGGGGAUAACAUUCGGAAACGGAUGCUAAAACCGCAUAGGUCUUCGAACCGCAUGGUUUGAAGAGGAAAAGAGGCGCAAGCUUCUGCUGAUGGAUGGACCCGCGGUGCAUUAGCUAGUUGGUGAGGUAACGGCUCACCAAGGCCGUGAUGCAUAGCCGACCUGAGAGGGUGAUCGGCCACAUUGGGACCGAGACACGGCCCAAACUCCUACGGGAGGCAGCAGUAGGGAAUCUUCCGCAAUGGGCGCAAGUCUGACGGAGCAACGCCGCGUGAGUGAAGAAGGUUUUCGGAUCGUAAAACUCUGUUGUUAGAGAAGAACAAGUGCUAGAGUAACUGUUAGCGCCUUGACGGUAUCUAACCAGAAAGCCACGGCUAACUACGUG